UACGGGGGGGGCAAGCGUUGUUCGGAAUUACUGGGCGUAAAGGGCUCGUAGGCGGCCAACUAAGUCCGACGUGAAAUCCCAAGGCUUAACCUUGGAACUGCGUCGGAUACUGGAUGGCUUGAAUUCGGGAGAGGGAUGCAGAAUUCCAGGUGUAGCGGUGAAAUUCGUAGAUAUUCGCAAGAACACCAGUGGCGAAGGCGGCUCACUGGCCCGGAACUGACGCUGAGGUGCGAAAGCGUGGGGAGCAAACAGG
rnacentral:rRNA from 1 species